rnacentral:rRNA from 1 species
UACGUAGGGUGCGAGCGUUAAUCGGAAUUACUGGGCGUAAAGCGUGCGCAGGCGGUUUGGUAAGACAGAUGUGAAAUUCACGGGCUUAACCUGGGAACUGCAUUUGUGACUGCCAGGCUAGAGUGCGGCAGAGGGGAGUGGAAGUCCGCGUGUAGCAGUGAAAUGCGUAGAUAUGCGGAGGAACACCGAUGGCGAAGGCAACUCCCUGGCCCUGCACUGACGCUCAUGCACGAAGGCGUGGGGAGCAAACAGG